rnacentral:rRNA from 1 species
UGGGGAAUUUUUCGCAAUGGGCGCAAGCCUGACGAAGCAACGCCGCGUGGAGGAUGAAGGUCUUCGGAUUGUAAACUCCUGUCGACCGGGACGAAUGCACUCGACCUAAUACGUCGGAAUGUUGACGGUACCGGUGGAGGAAGCCACGGCUAACUCUGUGCCAGCAGCCGCGGUAAUACAGAGGUGGCAAGCGUUGUUCGGAAUUACUGGGCGUAAAGGGCGCGUAGGCGGCCUUGUAAGUCUCGUGUGAAAGCCCUCGGCUUAACUGAGGAUCUGCACGGGAUACUGUAAGGCUCGAGUUCGGGAGAGGAAAGCGGAAUUCCGGGUGUAGCGGUGAAAUGCGUAGAUAUCCGGAGGAACACCAGUGGCGAAGGCGGCUUUCUGGACCGACACUGACGCUGAGGCGCGAAAGCUAGGGGAGCAAACG